rnacentral:misc_RNA from 1 species
ACAAACUUGGUCAUUUAGAGGAAGUAAAAGUCGUAACAAGGUUUCCGUAGGUGAACCUGCGGAAGGAUCAUCAACAAAAGGGAAAAAGUACGUGGCGGGCGCAAGCUCGUUCUCACGUUCGCUUCCCGAAAAUCCUGUAUUCACCCAAAGUUCCUUUAAAAUUUUAAUAAAAAACUUUUGCAAAAGACCACCUUCGUUUAAGGUGGCAUCUAAUGCACAAAGCGAAAACUUUCAACAACGGAUCUCUUGGCUCUCGCAUCGAUGAAGAACGCAGC